rnacentral:lncRNA from 1 species
CAGAUUGCAUGUUUGCUUGUGUGCAUUAUUAGGGUAUUUCAACAAGAACAUCAUGCAUGUCUUUGGUAAGGCCCGAUUUCUAACACAUGCAUGGAAUGAAUGAGCAUCCAAGAUGUACUAGAAAUGGUUUAAAUGCUUUUGUUCAUGCAUGAACACAAAAGAAAUGGAGAAGAACAUGAAAUAUUAGGUUUUGAUGUCACAUGAUCAUAUGUGCAUCUUUUCCACUCCUUGCAUGGGUUUGAUCCCGGAUUUUCACCAUCUCUAACACAUGCAUUGUGUUAUGGUGAGAAUCUACAAACCACAAGGGGAGAAUAAAGAUUUCUAGCCAUGGAAAGGCAUAGAAUCCGAAAAGUAGAGAAGACUAAGAAGAAAAAGAGGUUUAACCAUGAAACUAUGGAAGAAGAUGUUGUUGUUUACCUUGGUUUUGACCUUGAGAGAAGUAAGAACACUUCAAGGGCUUCACAAUCUCGAAAUUUUGCAGAGAAAUGAGAGGAUUUUCGUGAGUUUAGAGAGAGGGAAGAAGAGAGUGAAGUGUGUGAAGAGAGUGAAGUGAGAGAGUGAAGAGGAAGAGGUGGAGUGAGGGUUUAGGCUUAAUGAUUGUGUUUUGGGGAAGAGAGAGGGCAUGGGGAGAGGUGAUGGCCGGUUUUUGCAUGCCUUUUGGCCUCCUCUCUCCUAAAUUUUAAACUUUAUAAACUUCCCUCCUAUAUUUUAUAUAAAAACAUUCAUUUUUAUAAAAUGUUUAUUAAGCAAUUUGAUUUAUUUAAAAAUCUUGUUUUCAACAAAUAAUUUAUGAUUAAUACUUGUAAUUUAUAUUUCUAGUUCAUUGGUAUAAUCCAUAAUUUGAUUAAUAAAAUUUGAUAUUAGGAAGUUUAUAGCCAAAUUUUAUAAAGUUUUUAAGCUUUAUAAUUUAUAACUUUGGAUUUUUGGCUCUUUAGGGUUUUUGGAAUAUUGUUUGAUAUUCAACAACAUGUUGAAGUAUAAUUAGAAUGUUUUAAUUUAUUUUUAGAGUUUUAUACCCUAUUUCAAUUAUAACAAAGCUUGAAGCUUUAUUCUAAUUAUAGUAUUGGCAUUUCCUAUUGUAGCUAAGCAACUUACUAGAAUUGUAAGUAUCAAGUAUAUUAGUCCUAGACCUUAGUUGGAUCCUAGUUUAUGCAAGAUUUUUGACCUAAUUUAUACUACUAGGUCAUGGCAUGUUGUGCAUGAAUGGUUAUUAUAAAGAUGCAUGAGUCCAAGAAUGACCUGAAUUGGCAGUUGUCACAGUAUCCCCCACUUAAAAAGAAUUUCGUCCCGAAAUUCAUUCUAUGUCAUCGCUUGUCAUCGCAAGGGAAUAGUUGCGGAUACUUUUCCUUUAUGUAGUCCUCGCGCUCCCAGGUGUACUCCGGACCGCGUUUUGAGUUCCAUCGAACUUUCACAAUCGGGAUCUUACUCCGCUUAAGUUGUUUUACCUCCCUGUCAAGGAUUUCUAUCGGUUCCUCAACGAAGCUCAGCUUAUCAUUGAUCUUAAUUUCCUCCAGGGGUACUAUCAAUGUUUCGUCGGCUAGACAUUUCUUAAGGUUGGAGACGUGGAAUGUGUCGUGAAUGGCGCUUAACUCUUGGGGCAAUUGGAGUUUAUACGCUACUGGACCAAUCCUUUCAAGGAUUUCAAAGGGUCCAACAUAUCUCGGGCUUAGUUUUCCUUUCUUACCAAAACGCACAAGCCCUUUCCAAGGCGACACUUUUAAAAGUACCUUGUCUCCUACUUGGAAUUCUAAUGGUUUUCGACGAUUAUCCGCAUAACUUUUCUGACGAUCUCUAGCAGCUUUAAGCCUAUCCUUGAUGAUAGCAAUCUUGUCAGAUGUUUCCUGGAUAAGUUCGACUCUAGACAUCUGUCUGUCUCUGAUUUCUAUCCAGCAUAAGGGCAAACGACACUCGCGUCCAUACAAUGCCUCAUAUGGAGCACAUUGAAUACUCGUGUGGUAACUGUUAUUGUAGGAAAACUCAAUUAGAGGCAAAUGAGUAUCCCAAUUUCCUUUGAACUCAAUGACACACGCUCGUAGCAUGUCUUCCAAUGUUUGUAUUGUUCUCUCUGUUUGCCCAUCUGUCUGAGGGUGGUAAGCUGUGCUCAAAUCUAUCUUGGUUCCUAGUGCCCUCUGUAACAUCCACCAAAAUCGAGAUGUAAAACGACUAUCUCUAUCAGAAAUGAUAGAUAGGGGUACACCAUGCAGAGAAACAAUUUUGUCGAUGUAGAUUUGGGCCAAUUUUUCCAUCUUGAAAUCUUCUCGAAUGGGGAGAAAGUGUGCAGAUUUCGUCAAUCGAUCCACUAUGACCCAAAUUGAGUCAUGACCUUUAGCAGUUCUAGGAAGUUUGGUAACAAAGUCCAUAGAUAUUUGCUCUCAUUUCCAUUGGGGAAUUUCAGGUUGUUAACCCUUGGAAUCCAGACCCUGUCUUUAAAAUAACGAACUCCAUCAGGUUUGGUUUCAAAUCUUUCUUCCAAACCAUGUAAAGUUUCGCCUGGAAGAUUUUCCUUGCAUAACGCUUUCUCCUGGGCAUUAAUGAUUUGAGAUUUCAAGCUUGUCUGAAUUACCAUUCCCAAAGCUCUCACAUGGGAAGGUUUCACUCUUUCUUUCCUACUAAGAGCGUCGGCUACUACGUUAGCCUUCCCUGGGUGAUAUCGUAUCUCACAAUCAUAAUCACUAAACAACUCUACCCAUCUUCUCUGCCGCAUGUUUAACAUUUUCUGAUCCAGGAUAUGCUGAAGGCUUUUGUGAUCGGUAUAAAUGGUGCACUUGGUUCCGUACAAAUAAUGCCUCCAUAUCUUAAGGGCGAAAAUUAUUGCUCCUAGUUCUAGAUCAUGGGUGGUAUAAUUCUUCUCGUGCGGUUUGAGUUGUCUGGAAGCAUAUGCAAUGACCUUAUCUUUUUGCAUUAGCACACAUCCUAAUCCUUGAUGAGACGCAUCACAAUACACCACAAAGUUCUCUAAUCCUUCUCAUAAAGCCAGAAUUGGUGCAUUGCACAGCUUGUUUUUCAGGAUUUGAAACGCCUCUUCGUGUUUCUCUUCCCAGAGAAAUUUUCUAUCCUUUUGGGUCAAAGAUGUUAAUGGUUGAGCAAUCCUAGAGAAAUUCUCAAUGAAGCGUCUGUAGUACCCAGCUAAUCCUAGGAAUUGUCGUAUUUCUGUCAGGGUUUUGGGGGCCUCCCAUUUCUUGAUUGCCUCUAUCUUAGCUGGAUCUACAUGGAUUCCUCUUUCGCCGAUCACAUGACCAAGAAAAUGUACUUCCCGAAUCCAAAAUUCACACUUAGUGAACUUGGCAUACAAUUUAUGUUCCUUCAACAGCUCCAACACUAGCUUUAGAUGUCUAUUGUGAUCUUCUUUGGUCCGCAAGUAAACAAGUAUGUCAUCGAUAAAUACAAUUACAAACCUGUCUAGGUAUGGUCUACAGACCCUAUUCAUCAAAUCCAUGAAUACAGCGGGUGCGUUCGUUAGUCCAAAAGGCAUGACUAAGAACUCAUAAUGUCCAUAACGGGUUCUAAAUGUUGUUUUGUGAAUGUCCUCUUCGUGAAUUCUUAGCUGAUGAUACCCUGACCGAAGGUCGAUUUUUGAGAAGUAGGAAGCGCCCUGCAACUGAUCGAACAAGUCAUCUAUUCUAGGGAGGGGAUAUCGAUUCUUGAUUGUCAACUUGUUCAAUUCUCUGUAAUCAAUGCACAUUCGGAACGAACCAUCUUUCUUUUUGACGAAUAACACUGGGGCUCCCCAAGGUGAAGAACUUGGUCGAAUAAACCCUUUGUCUAGAAGUUCUUGAAGUUGUUCGGAUAGUUCUUGCAUCUCGGAUGGUGCAAGGCGAUAUGGUNAGCAACAUCGGGUGUUUCGUUCUGUGGGCGCCCGCGACUAGGCCUGCCUGACAUGGUUCUAUGACACAGGAGAAGAAAUACGUAUAAAUACAUAAAAUAAUGUAUAAUAUUUAGUUCACUACUAUUUUGAAAACCACAAGUGUUGUCAAAUCAUUGGUUUGCAUUAAUACUAGGCAUAUAGAUUUUAGAAAGGAAAGAAAAGAAAAAUCUUUUUAUUCGACCAUUGACUAAGAAAAUUCUAGGGUUUGACCUCAUACUAAAAGCUUUCAAACAUAAGAUAAAAUUCUUCAUUACCAUUUGAAAUAACUUUAAAACCAAACCAAUUCAUCAAUUGCAAAAUAAAGUUUUUAAAUGUUUUUCCCAAAAGACACCCAACAUGGGUUUUCAUUUCAUGACCAAAAUAAAAUAAAAUGCUAAAAUCAGAACCAAAAGCCAAUCGCUAGUCCAACAAGAAGCAUCAACACCACAAUUAGAAACAACCCUCCAAACACAUAAUAUGCUGUCAUCGCAUGACCUGCCUCUCGUCUAGCAGCACUAGCAGCGUUAGCAGUCUCCGUCGAAUGCUCAUACAGGAUUUGCAUUCCUGUCAUCACUUCGUUUAAUACCUCCUGUUGCCCGGCUAUUACAGCGAGGCUGUGGCGCAGAUCUGCUGCUAUCAAAUACAUCCUCCGGGACUCCUCCGGGGUCAUACCUGGCUGCCUAUCAGGUAUUCCUAUAACUUGCUGUGGUGGCGGUGCUCUCGGUCCUGCAACGCUGGGUCCUGCUCCGCUAGGUCCUGCCGUGCCAAGUCCUGCUGUGUUGGUGGCUAUCCUUUCUAGAAUGGGAACACUCUUCCUUGCCGUCCUCUGAAUACGAAGUCCAUAAAGUGGCGGUUGUGGCAACACCGAUGGAGGUGAUGCCUCGCGUCGUUGACUCGGGGCGUCGUCAUUGCUGAUCGCCACGGAGUUCCCUGUAUCUUCCGUAUCCUCUGAUGGGACUUCUUCUACCGAGGCGGGGGGAUUACGUCGAGGAAUAACAGUGACGUAGCCGGAUUCAUCGGCUGAGGCGGUAGCGCGGGAAGAUGACGAUGUUGACAUAGUGGACUGUGACAUAGUUUCAAUGAGAUAUGAAAUAAAUGACAAUGCAUGCCUAUAAUAUGCAAUGCUUACACACACCAAAAUUAACCUUUUGAAAUUUUGAAAUAAAGUUUUCUCAAAUAUUUUUGUUGAACAUAUUCCCAUUAUAAUUAGCUCAAGCUUUGUAUAAAUCUUUUCUUAAUUAAACAUAGGUGAUCAACCUAUGUUUAAUCGAGGUCCAAUAAUACAACUCCUGACCUAAUUAUACUAGUAAUAUGUUUGAUGUAAAAAGAAUUUCUUUGUAAGUUUUAGUUAUAGGUUGUGUUUUCUUAAAGAAAAACCGAUGUUCUCUAUAACUUUAGCUCUGAUACCACUUCUGUCACACCCCGCUAAAGCGGAAACGCAAGGUAUGACAGCGAUAACGGUUUCAAUGCAAAAGAUAAAGAUACAUCACCAUAGCAGUAUUUAAAAGUUUACAACCCAUAGCUUAAAAGAAACAAAGUACAAGUUUUUCCAAAACAACAUUAAUCAAAAUAUAACUUCAUAAUAGCUUCAACACGAUGCAGCAUGCUCUAUGAUGAUGAAUCUUUACAUUCACUUACUAAUGAUUUCCUGAAAAAGCAUGUAAAACGAGCGUCAACUAUGAAAAUAGUUGGUGAGUAUCACAAGUUUAUAGAUCGAGGGUACAAUAAUGCUUUUCGUAAGUACAAGUACAUUGCUUUAAUGAUAAAACAAAGUUGAUUGCUAUUAAGGAAUACAAGUUUAUUGCUAUAACGAGAAACGCGUUUGUAUGUGUAUGAGCAAACAAUGAGUCUCAACCAAACCUAUGACUGAAGCCCUAUCGAGAUCUAUGCUUAUCGUUCCAUAGAUGAAUAUGGUAUCAUGCACUCCAGCGAUUCGGGCGAGUGAGGAGUUGUCAAUUCCUAAUAGCGCUAUCCAUAAUGACCAUUGGCUCAAAGAGUUAAUGGUUAGAGAUAAGGGAAGGGCCUUAGUACGAUAAGUUCUCAUGUUCCGUGUUGCAUAGACAUACAUAAAGAAACAUAGCAAUACAAUAGCAAUCAUGUUUGAUACAAAUCAAUUUAAAUACAACAUGCAAAUUAUAGUUUUUCUGGACAUGCUUUUCCACCCCAAAACAUAAAAACUGAAAAUAGGGGAGUGCGUGAAUACUCACAAUAUGCAAAAUAUAGUAAUCAAAUUUAUAAGAGUCAACUAAAUAUAACGAACAUAAAUAGUUUAGGACAUGCUUUUCCACCCCAAAACAUAAAAACUGAAAAUAGGGGAAUCGUGAAUACUCACAAUAUGCAAAAUGUAGUAAUCAAGUUUAUGUGAGUCAAUUAAAUAUAACGAACAUAAAUAGUUUAGGACAUGCUUUUCCACCCCAAAACAUUUAAAAAACCAAAAAUAGGGGAGUGUGUGAAUACUCAUAAUAUGCAAAAUAUAGCAACCAAGUUUAUACGAGUCAAAUAAAUACAACGAAUAUAAAUAGUUUAGGACAUGCUUUUCCACCCCAAAACAUUUAAAAAUCGAAAAUAAGGGAUUGGUGAAUACUCACAAUAUGCAAAAUACAGCAACCAAGUUUAUACGAGUCAAAAUAAAUACAACGAACAUAAAAAGUUUAGGACAUGCUUUUCCACCCCAAAACAUUUAAAAACCGAAAAUAGGGGAGUACGUGAAUACUCACAAUAUGCAAAAUAUAGCAACCAAGUUUAUACGAGUCAAAAUAAAUACAACGAACAUAAAAAGUUUAGGACAUGCUUUUCCACCCCAAAACAUUUAAAAACCGAAAAUAGGGGAGUACGUGAAUACUCACGAUGUUUUGUGUAGGCACAAACGGUACUUCGGGAUGCACCAACGUCUUACUACCGGGAUCCUACGACAUCAAACACACGCACUAGUGAGUUUCCAUGUCGAUAUCUAAUGCUAAUAUACUAAACUCUACAUAUAGGGAAAUGCCAAUUUAUGUUUUAGUAUUGGAUUUCAUAUCAAUUGGUUACACUUUUUCUGAAAUAUUGUAAUUUUACAAGUCGUGCGAUUAAUUACAACUUUGGAAUAUUAAUUUUCCAAAUUUUAAGUCUCUUUAACAACAUCAAUUCACGAAAAAUAGUAUUCAAGGGAUAAAAAUUCUCAAACUUUUUAUUUAACUGUUAUUACACAAUACUAAGCUGGGAAAAAUAUAAAAAUGGAUUUCCAAGCUGUUUAAUUAUAUUUUAUGAUUUUUGAGCAUUUAUUUCAAUAAAAAUUGAAAUAAAUAGAAAAAAGUUUCCAAAAUUACCCAAACUUUUUAAUUAACUGUUAGUGUACAUAAAUAGGCUGGGAAAAAUAUAAAAGAUAUUUUUCAGUGGUUAUUUGUAUUUUUCCUUGUUUUAUUCCUUUAAAUAGUCAUUAAUUAAAGAAAUAAUAUUAAACAGUUAAAAUAAAUUACCAUAAAUUUUUGUAACAUCAUUUACAGUAUAAAUAUCCUGGGAAAAAUAUCAAAAGUGGUUUUCAUAAUGUAUAAACUGGUUAUGGGUUUUUAUGUAUAUUUAAGUGUAUUUUAGUGCAAUUAACUUUAGAAAAUAAGAGAAAAAUAGUUUACAGUAGAGAAAAAUAUUCAAAAUUUUUAUGUAACCUCCUACUGUAUAAUAUUAUAUCCUGGUAAAUUUUCAUGAAUUUUGGAUAAUCAGAACUAUUUUUCCCAUUUUUAGACCAUUAUAAUUACCAAGAAUUGGUAAAAAUAGUAAGACAUGAUGAAAAAUCUUGAAAUUAUUUUCUGAAGUCACCCAUGACAGUUAAGGUAUGCGAAAAUUGUUAGAUACAAUUUUCAUAUCCUCUAAGGGGGUUUUGUAAUUUAUCAUGUCCUAAAUAAAAGAAAAUUAGAAAUCGUAUUAAACAGUAACAAAAAUUGCUGAAAUUUGGUGAGGGGUCAUUAUUCCCCAUAAGUAUCAUCCAUGAAUUUAUUUAGGAUUUAUUGACCUCUGGAAGUAUUUUAUAUGAUUUAUGCCCUUGGUUUUAGCAAUAACUCUAAUAAAUCAAAGAAAUAACAAAAGCUCUUGAAAUUUUCCAGAUUAUCUCAUGCAUGCAAGGGCUUUCAAAAGGAAAAAUGUAAAAAAAUGUAUUCAGAAGAGAAAUGAGGGUAAUGAUUCCAAACAAUUUAAGAAAAGUUGCAUGCAAUAAUGCAUGAAGUGUAGAUGUGGCUGAAGUUCAUGAAUUUGUGUAGCCCAUUCAGUGAGGUUUUAAGCCACGAAAUUUCAACCAUCAUUCACUAGAUAUUUUAAGUUUGUAAUGUAUUUUUCCUCGGAUUUAUGGUUGGGUUUAUGUCCAUUGAUUAUGCAAGACAAAAAUAGUGAUCACAGAAAAAGAGCUGUAUGCGCAACCAUUUUGUAAAAAUUUCCAAAUAUCGGAUAUUUAAUAUUUUACAGUAAGACCAGUUGGGUUUGAAAGUUAACUCGUGUAACUAACCAAUACAAAAAGAAUAUCAUGAUUUGGUUAAGAAAUGACUGAGUUAUGGCCGUUCAAAGUCAAACAAAGUAAUCUGGCAGAUUGCAUGUUUGCUUGUGUGCAUUAUUAGGGUAUUUCAACAAGAGCGUCAUGCAUGUCUUUGGUAAGGCCCGAUUUCUAACACAUGCAUGGAAUGAAUGAGCAUCCAAGAUGUACUAGAAAUGGUUUAAAUGCUUUUGGUCAUGUAUGAACACAAAAGAAACGGAGAAGAACAUGAAAUAUUAGGUUUUGAUGUCACAUGAUCAUAUGUGCAUCUUUUUCACUCCUUGCAUGGGUUUGAUCCCGGAUUUUCACCAUCUCUAACACAUGCAUUGUGUUAUGGUGAGAAUCUACAAACCACAAGGGAAAAUAUACAGAUUUCUAGCCAUGGAAUGGCAUAGAAUCCGAAAAGAAGAGAAAACUAAGAAAGAAAAGAAGUAAAAUCAUGUAACUAUGGAAGAAGAUGAUGUUGUUUACCUUUGUUAUGAUCUUGAGGGAAGUAAGAACACUUCAAGGGCUUCACAAUCUCGAAAUUUUGCAGAGGAAUGAGAGGAUUUUCGUGGGUUUAGAGAGA